rnacentral:tRNA from 1 species
GCAUUAAUAGCUCAGUAUCCAGAGCGCCG